CUAUCCUCCGCAGCCGAAGGAGUGUUGAGGAAGGCUGUCCCUAGUACGAGAGGACCGGGACGGACGUAGCUCUGGUGUGUCUGUUGUCCUGCCAAGGGCAUUGCAGAUUAGCCACCUACGGAAAGGAUAACCGCUGAAAGCAUCUAAGUGGGAAACCUGUUCCAAGAUGAGCGCUCCCUUACGGUUAACGUAGUAAGGCCCGUGACGAGACCAUCACGUUGAUAGGCCAGAGGUGUACGCACGGCAACGUGUUGAGCCGACUGGUACUAAUCGGCCGAGGGCUUGGAUUG
rnacentral:rRNA from 1 species